rnacentral:rRNA from 1 species
AGUGAACGCUGGCGGUAGGCCUAACACAUGCAAGUCGAACGGCAGCACAGUAAGAGCUUGCUCUUACGGGUGGCGAGUGGCGGACGGGUGAGGAAUACAUCGGAAUCUACUUUUUCGUGGGGGAUAACGUAGGGAAACUUACGCUAAUACCGCAUACGACCUACGGGUGAAAGCAGGGGAUCUUCGGACCUUGCGCGAUUGAAUGAGCCGAUGUCGGAUUAGCUAGUUGGCGGGGUAAAGGCCCACCAAGGCGACGAUCCGUAGCUGGUCUGAGAGGAUGAUCAGCCACACUGGAACUGAGACACGGUCCAGACUCCUACGGGAGGCAGCAGUGGGGAAUAUUGGACAAUGGGCGCAAGCCUGAUCCAGCCAUAACGCGUGGGUGAAGAAGGCCUUCGGGUUGUAAAGCCCUUUUGUUGGGAAAGAAAAGCAGCAGGUUAAUACCCCGCUGUUCUGACGGUACACAAAGAAUAAGCACCGGCUAACUUCGUG